CGGACAGUGUCUGGUGGGUAGUUUGACUGGGGCGGUCUCCUCCUAAAGAGUAACGGAGGAGCACGAAGGUUGGCUAAUCCUGGUCGGACAUCAGGAGGUUAGUGCAAUGGCAUAAGCCAGCUUGACUGCGAGCGUGACGGCGCGAGCAGGUGCGAAAGCAGGUCAUAGUGAUCCGGUGGUUCUGAAUGGAAGGGCCAUCGCUCAACGGAUAAAAGGUACUCCGGGGAUAACAGGCUGAUACCGCCCAAGAGUUCAUAUCGACGGCGGUGUUUGGCACCUCGAUGUCGGCUCAUCACAUCCUGGGGCUGAAGUAGGUCCCAAGGGUAUGGCUGUUCGCCAUUUAAAGUGGUACGCGAGCUGGGUUUAGAACGUCGUGAGACAGUUCGGUCCCUAUCUGCCGUGGGCGCUGGAGAACUGAGGGGGGCUGCUCCUAGUACGAGAGGACCGGAGUGGAUGCAUCACUGGUGUUCGGGUUGUCAUGCCAAUGGCACUGCCCGGUAGCUAAAUGCGGAAGAGAUAAGUGCUGAAAGCAUCUAAGCACGAAACUUGCCCCGAGAUGAGUUCUCCCUGAGACUUAGAGUCUCCUGAAGGAACGUUGAAGACGACGACGUUGAUAGGCCGGGUGUGUAAGCGCAGCGAUGCGUUGAGCUAACCGGUACUAAUGAACCGUGAGGCUUAACCUUACAACGCCGAAG
rnacentral:rRNA from 1 species